rnacentral:rRNA from 1 species
UACGUAGGUGGCAAGCGUUGUCCGGAUUUACUGGGCGUAAAGAGCGCGCAGGCGGUCGAAUAAGUCGAAUGUGAAAGCCCCGGCUCAACUGGGGAGGGUCAUUCGAUACUGUCCGACUUGAAGGCAGGAGAGAGAAGCAGAAUUCCCGGUGUAGUGGUGAAAUGCGUAGAUAUCGGGAGGAAUACCAGUGGCGAAGGCGGCUUCUUGGCCUGUUCUUACGCUG